rnacentral:rRNA from 1 species
AGGACGAACGCUGGCGGCGUGCCUAAUACAUGCAAGUCGAGCGGGUUUAUCUUCGGAUAAAGCUAGCGGCGGACGGGUGAGUAACACGUAGGCAACCUGCCUGUAAGAUCGGGAUAACUACCGGAAACGGUAGCUAAGACCGGAUAGAUGGUUUCCUCGCAUGAGGGAGCUAAGAAACACGGGGCAACCUGUGGCUUACAGAUGGGCCUGCGGCGCAUUAGCUAGUUGGCGGGGUAACGGCCCACCAAGGCGACGAUGCGUAGCCGACCUGAGAGGGUGAUCGGCCACACUGGGACUGAGACACGGCCCAGACUCCUACGGGAGGCAGCAGUAGGGAAUCUUCCGCAAUGGACGCAAGUCUGACGGAGCAACGCCGCGUGAGUGAUGAAAGGUUUUCGGAUCGUAAAGCUCUGUUGCCAAGGAAGAAUGUCGUGGAGAGUAACUGCUCUGCGAAUGACGGUACUUGAGAAGAAAGCCCCGGCUAACUACGUGCCAGCCGCCGC